rnacentral:tRNA from 1 species
GCGGUAUCGCGUACGGCACGCAGGUGACUUCUAAACUCACCGUUUCCGGGUUCGAGUCCCGGAUACCGCGC